rnacentral:lncRNA from 1 species
AUCACAGCUGCCACAUCUCAGUUUUUCUCCAACAGCUGCUUCUACAGGAAGGUGGCCAGCGUACUCUGGAUGCAGGAUGCUAGCCUGCUGCACUCGAAACCUGGUGAAACCAAAGAUAGAUGGAUCAUGGGGACCUUAAAACAGUCUAAGAUGGAUGUAAAGGAAAGGGCGUGCCACAGACCACUCCCGGAGAGCUUGAAGUGGGCUGAGAAAAGGAAAAAGAUUCAGACCUGCCCUCCCCACAGCAGAACAACUUACACGUUUCAAGUUACAAGGUGGAUCUGCCUUCUUUACUGGAUUGAAGCUAAUUUACUUGAAAUAUAAUUUCCUGUCUUUUGCUUUUCCAUACCUACUGAUGAACACAGAAAAGUUCCUGUGCCGUCAAAGAUUUUCUCUCCACUUGCUAGGAUUCUCCUUGGCUAUUAACACAGUAGUAUCUCAAUGUUAUCAGGUUUUUUUUAAACUCAUCCUCUUUAGGCAAUUACAAUUUGAAAAAUGGAUGCUUUUCCCCAGGAAACAGCUGUAGCAAUUUUUGUUGCUUUUGUGACAGUGGAUACAUCUUAAAAGCAGGUUUAAGAGACACAGUGGUGCAGCAGCAGUAUAGAUUCCCAUUACGAUUCUUAAGCCUUGCCUGAAGAGCACAGAAG